GGGGGGACUGGGACUGAGCGGUUAGAGGGGGCUGAAUGUCGGAAGGAGUUGUUGGCUGUGAGCGGGCCCAAUUUUCCCCGAGGACGCCAUUGAGAGACAUUCGCAAAAGACGCCCAGGCUGUAUGUUUUGGUAUUGUUGUUUUUAUAAUUUCAGUCCUUUGAGAUAUUCUUGAUGAUUUCUUUUCAUUUAUUUACUUAUUUUUAUGUGGUGCCGAGGAUCAAACCCGGGGCCUCGCGCGUGCUAGGCGAGCCACAACCCCAGCCCUGACUGUAUGGUUUUAAUUUGUUCUUUGCCAGAGGAGAGGAAGACCAGCUUCGGACCUGACCCGUCUGGAGAGGCUUGUUCUGAGUCAGGGCGGUCCGGAGGUCCUCUCUGCAAGGGGGAAGGCUGCGAGCUCUUUCCGGUGGGGCGAGCCCCGCAGGGCAGAGGGAGGGGAUUCCCCCCAGCUGCAGAACCGGUUUCUAUUGGCGCUUGUACAAAUCAACGCUGUUUCCUUUCCCCCUGGUUCUCACCUGGUCGCUGGGCUACAUCCCCAGCUCUUUUGUGUGUGUGUGUGUGUGUGUGCGUGCGUGUGCCUUUAGUACCGGGAAUUGAAUGAGUUCACUCGCUCGACCACUGAGCCACACCCCCCAGACCUAUUUUUCUAUUUUAUUUAGAGAUAGGUUCUCACUGAGUUGCUUCUUAAUCGCAGGGAGAAAGCCGUUUGGGUGUCGCCUCCUCCAGGACGUCUUCCUUAAGGAAGGGCCCUUCCUCACCACACUCAAAUGUAAUCGGCAUCCAUCCUGUACAUUUGAUUGCACCCUGUUAUUUUACGGCAGGCACACCGUUCGCCCGCCGUUUGGAGCCAUUCCUCAUCUCCCCCACCGAAACAUGAGGCCCUAGAGGGCCGUGGCCCUCACGGGUACUAGUCCUGUCAACGCCAGCAGUUGAGAGUGCUCAGCUAACCUUUGUAGAGGAACGAAGCCGUGGGAGAGGACGUGAUGGACACCAGGGAAUGAACCAGAGAAGACACUUGGAGGAGGCUACAAGCUGUAUAGGGGCUAAGGCCGGACACCUGAGUAGGGAUGCUCUGGGGAAGUGGGGAUCAGGCCCCCGGGAAAGGCUGGGGUAAAGUUUCUCUCUGCGGCAGAGUCGGCAUUUGCCUUUCCCAUCCAUUCUCUUUGCCUACAGCACUUCAGUUUCUUUGGUUUGAUCGCAGAAAAGCAAGAGGCUAUCAUGGGUGUAGGACUGACGCUCAGUCAGUCAUUUUCCCCCUGCCAGGCGGAAAGCCUGAUGAAUAGCCAGGACCAACAGAAACUGAGCGCUCUCUGUGUACUGCAUCUUUCAGUCCGCUCCACCGUGAGGUGGGUGUUAUUGUCCAGGGCCGAGUUUAGACUGAGCCAAGUCUUCUAGGAUAACAUUUUAAGGGAGUGCCCCUCUAAAAACUUUCCAGUAAUGGAGAUAAAUAAUAUUUUAGUGCAAUGUAUCUUACCCAUCAAGACGAUCAAAAUAUGCAUCUUGAUUACCAAGGCUUUUUUUUGGGGGGGGGGUGCGUGUUUGUUUCUUUGCUCAAGGCCCCUGUCUGGCUCCUUUCACUCCACCCUGGUCCCCGCCUUAUUAUCAUCACCUCCAUUCUCCUGACCGGUGCUGAAUGGCAACCACGGGCCACAUGGAGCCCUGGAAAGGUGGUUCCUUGUAGUUCAGUGGUGCUGUGAGUGUAAAAUACAGUGUUCAAAUGUGGAACAUCUCGUUUGUGAUUUUACAUCUGUGUGGUGUUCAAGCGAGGUUUUGGAUUUAUCAAGGUAAAUAGAUAUUAUUUCAAGAUACUAAACUUGAUUUCCCCUCUUUUUUUUUUCCUUUCAAAACCACUAUGUCCCCAGCCUUUUGAUCCAUGCUUUUAGAUACUGCCUUGACCUGAGGAAGAUUUGGCUCACAGGUAGGUUACUUGUGCACACCCUGUGCUUCACUGCUAGGACAGCAGACCCAGACUCAAUAGUACCUGGGUCACGGUUGGGGCAGUUGAGAUAUGUGAAAUGAAACCUGUUCUAAGGUGCUUGGUUUUGGGCUGGGGAUGUGGCUGAAGCGGUAGCCCAAUUGCCU
rnacentral:lncRNA from 1 species